CCCUUAGACGUUCUGGGCCGCACGCGCGCUACACUGACCAGUGCAACAAGCAUCCGUCCUUGGCCGACAGGCCCGGGCAAUCUUUGAACGCUGGUCGUGAUGGGGAUAGACUUUUGCAAUUUUUGGUCUUCAACGAGGAAUUCCUAGUAAACGCAAGUCAUCAACUUGCAUUGAUUACGUCCCUGCCCUUUGUACACACCGCCCGUCGCACCUACCGAUUGAAUGGUCCGGUGAAGCCUCCGGAUUGGCGCGCACCUCGGUGCCGCCGAGAAGUUGGCUAAACCUUACCAUUUAGAGGAAGGUGAAGUAGUAACA
rnacentral:rRNA from 1 species